UCACCAUAGCGACAGAUAAAGUGGAGUAAAUGGAAAGCCAUCCUUCAAUCCUUGGAUGCCAUACAAAGCUCGCCGCUUCUCCUGUUUGGGGGAACGAUAUCCCGUCGAUGCUGCCAAACACCGAUCCUGCCCUUUCCGUCGAAGAACUUACUGAAUGCAGUUGGGCCGGGGAGAAUAACGUCCUCGGCGUGGCUUCUCUCAAAGUCACAAAGGCAACAAAGUCCCUCAGCGGGACGGGCUCUUUGGCCACCAGCGCAAGAUACUGUUUACUGGCCACAUUUCACCGCUGUAAAGCUCUGUUGCGCCCGCCGCAGCCUCGAUGACAAAUCGUGCUCCGGUGCAGCCAUACUUGGAGAAGAAAAGCAAGCGCCUGCCAAGACGACCCCUUCAGCCCUUUUCUCUUGUUCUCCGUGGAAGCUACUUCUGUUCCAGCUGGGAACCGACUGGACUGACAAAACCAAGCUAUUGCUGUCCCAUACCACCCUACGAAAAGUUAAAAACCCUAUUGUUACAGGAAAUGGGGAAAAAAUGGGAUACGAGUGAUCGCCAGCUCAAAACGAAGUCAUUCAUAUUGUGAUUUGCGGCACUAAAUAUGACAAGUUGGUUCCUCCUUGUGGCGCUUUGACAUUUUUUAAUAUACUUUGAGUUCACGUCGCUCCCUUUUGUUAUACUGAAGCACUUUUCCGAGCCUUUUUUUUUUAUGAUUUAUUCAUGAAGUCACUCGCAUUGAAUGAAAAACCUUUAGCGAGUACUUAGUGAAUUAAAUGUGAGUUUUUUGUAAUUUAAUAUAAUGGAGUUGUAAUUUGAGCUUUGACCAGCAGGACCAGAUGGGGUGCCAGGAAGGCUGUGGAAGUGACCGCCAGCUUGCUGCCGUUUUGUUGUAUUUCUUUUCUACAAUGAUUUCUUAAAAUAUUUUUUAAUGACAGUGAAUUACUUAGUUGAAUUCUUAUAAAAGCUGCAGACUCCUAAAAUGUGUCAGUAUUCUUGUGUACAUUGUUUAUGAUGUCAAAUAAGAAGACCGUGGAUCGUCACAAACCUUAUUUUCUUUUAUUCAUUUCAUUUCUUUUUUUUACCUCGUGUAGUGUCCCUAUUGUUUUUUUCCCUAAUGAAGAGGCCUGCUGGUGGCGCUAGUGUGCAAAGCGCCGUUGGACGAGCGGGAGAAGAAGAAUAUUUGAAAUGGGGGAUGUGACGUCACGUCUCCAGGUCAAUCGGAGACAGGUGUGCUCAAGAGGAGUUAUCAUUAUGCAAGUGCCACCUCGCGCGUGGCGGGCGGUUUGUCAGCGCCAAAUAAGGCCGCCUAGCCAGCAUCCUUGGACGCAAAGCAAGCGGGAGGCUCUUGAGCCAUCUCAGUGAUGUUGAGGACGCUGAGGAAGACUAGUCCUAAAUCAGGCUGGACGCUAAAAAGGUGCUCAUGGUCCGGCCCAACUCGACCCGGCGACAGUCACCAAGAGUAGCUAGCCGCUGUGUUCAAAUGGCGACCGGGACACGACACGAUCAGAGGUGGACCACUUCCCCAGCCUGGUAGCAACACGCCUGCCUUGACCGAACUGGUUCUGAGAGAGACCCGCUUCCCUGGGGGCGUCGACCUGCGCAGCUUCAACGUGAUUGCUGGGGCAGCGGAUCGGACGGGUGCCUGCGCAGAGAGGGGCUGGACCGGACCGCGUGACCAGGGGCUAGCGCUCAUAAAGGCCUCCCAGCCAGCACCCUUCUAUACAAAGCAAGCAGGAGGCUCCUGAGCCAUCUCAGUGAUGUUGAUGAAGAGUAGUCCCAAAUCAGGUGAAAGCCCGUUGGUGUAAAGUUUCAGCUGACUGUAAAUGUGACCACUUUUACCAAUUGCACCAUUUGUACUUUUCAAGUUUUUUUUUGUAUGAAACCAGUGAGCAGGUUGACGCCGGUGAGAAGUCACACCAUCGAACUCCCUGACGCAGAGCUGUGCUUUACCAUUAGCCCAGUGCUUCUCAAUUAUUUUCUGUUACGCCCCCCCCUAGCAAGAAGAAAACUAUUCGUGCCCCCCCUCCCCACCGUGACUAUCCUAACUUGUCUUGUAAACGUGACAGAAGUAACAAUGAGAGCGCCACUGCCCCCUGCUGUAGUAAACGCGCAAUUACACUUUAUCCUAGUACUGCCAAAAAAAAAGCCUGUUCCCCAGGGUCACACGCGCCCCCCCAGGAAUAGGGGGGCGCGCCCCACUAUUUGAGAAGUACUGCAUUAGCCAGACCAGGCAACUGCCACUUGGGGGCUCUCUUAUUUAUCCAUUUUUACAUUUGGCACUUGUCCCUUGUAUUCUUGCACUCUCUUGACAAGUAAAUUUCCCUGUUGUGGAAUAAAAUUCUAUCAAUCAA